CAGCAGCCGCGGUAAUACGUAGGGUGCGAGCGUUGUCCGGAUUUAUUGGGCGUAAAGGGCUCGUAGGUGGUUGAUCGCGUCGGAAGUGUAAUCUUGGGGCUUAACCCUGAGCGUGCUUUCGAUACGGGUUGACUUGAGGAAGGUAGGGGAGAAUGGAAUUCCUGGUGGAGCGGUGGAAUGCGCAGAUAUCAGGAGGAACACCAGUGGCGAAGGCGGUUCUCUGGGCCUUUCCUGACGCUGAGGAGCGAAAGCGUGGGGAGCGAACAGGCUUAGAUACCCUGGUAGUCCACGCUGUAAACGGUGGGUACUAGGUGUGGGGUCCAUUCCACGGGUUCCGUGCCGUAGCUAACGCUUUAAGUACCCCGCCUGGGGAGUACGGCCGCAAGGCUAAAACUCAAAGGAAUUGACGGGGCCCCGCACAAGCGGCGGAGCAUGCGGAUUAAUUCGAUGCAACGCGUAGAACCUUACCUGGGUUUGACAUGGAUCGGGAGUGCUCAGAGAUGGGUGUGCCUCUUUUGGGGUCGGUUCACAGGUGGUGCAUGGCUGUCGUCAGCUCGUGUCGUGAGAUGUUGGGUUAAGUCCCGCAACGAGCGCAACCCUUGUUCACUGUUGCCAGCACGUUAUGGUGGGGACUCAGUGGAGACCGCCGGGGUCAACUCGGAGGAAGGUGGGGAUGACGUCAAGUCAUCAUGCCCCUUAUGUCCAGGGCUUCACGCAUGCUACAAUGGCUGGUACAGAGAGUGGCGAGCCUGUGAGGGUGAGCGAAUCUCGGAAAGCCGGUCUCAGUUCGGAUUGGGGUCUGCAACUCGACCUCAUGAAGUCGGAGUCGCUAGUAAUCGCAGAUCAGCAACGCUGCGGUGAAUACGUUCCCGGGGCUUGUACACACCGCCCGUCAAGUCAUGAAAGUUGGUAACACCCGAAGCCGGUGGCCUAACCGUUGUGGGGGAGCCGUCGAAGGUGGGACUGGUGAUUAGGACUAAGUCGUAACAAGGUAGCCGU
rnacentral:rRNA from 1 species